UGGGGAAUAUUGGACAAUGGGCGAAAGCCUGAUCCAGCCAUGCCGCGUGUGUGAAGAAGGUCUUCGGAUUGUAAAGCACUUUAAGUUGGGAGGAAGGGCAGUAAGCGAAUACCUUGCUGUUUUGACGUUACCGACAGAAUAAGCACCGGCUAACUCUGUGCCAGCAGCCGCGGUAAUACAGAGGGUGCAAGCGUUAAUCGGAAUUACUGGGCGUAAAGCGCGCGUAGGCGGCUAAUUGAGUCGGAUGUGAAAUCCCCGAGCUUAACUUGGGAAUUGCAUUCGAUACUGGUUAGCUAGAGUGUGGGAGAGGAUGGUAGAAUUCCAGGUGUAGCGGUGAAAUGCGUAGAGAUCUGGAGGAAUACCGAUGGCGAAGGCAGCCAUCUGGCCUAACACUGACGCUGAGGUACGAAAGCAUGGGGCGCAAACAGG
rnacentral:rRNA from 1 species